UCCAAUUAGAUAUUUAUUUCUUAACGGAAAGCGGUAUCAAAUUAGGUUUCAAUGAAACGAAGUGACCAUUCGAAUUGGGAAGCAGCCUUGAGCUGUUUUGUUUCACUUUUUCAAAAGUGAAAACCAAUAAGNUGCCUACGGGCCAAAGAGGGGGACCUUCGGGCCUCUCGCGUCAGGAUAUGCCUAGGUGGGAUUAGCUAGUUGGUGAGGUAAGGGCUCACCAAGGCGACGAUCCCUAGCUGGUCUGAGAGGAUGAUCAGCCACACUGGAACUGAGACACGGUCCAGACUCCUACGGGAGGCAGCAGUGGGGAAUAUUGCACAAUGGGCGCAAGCCUGAUGCAGCCAUGCCGCGUGUAUGAAGAAGGCCUUCGGGUUGUAAAGUACUUUCAGUCGUGAGGAAGGUAGUGUAGUUAAUAGCUGCAU
rnacentral:rRNA from 1 species